rnacentral:rRNA from 1 species
UGGGCGUAAAGAGUUGCGUAGGCGGCAUUGUAAGCGGGUAGUGAAAGCGUGUGGCUCAACCAUACUCACAUUAUCCGAACUGCAAAGCUAGAGGACGAGAGAGGUAACUGGAAUUCCUUGUGUAGGAGUGAAAUCCGUAGAUAUAAGGAGGAACACCGAUGGCGUAGGCAGGUUACUGGCUCGUUCCUGACGCUCAGGCACGAAAGCGUGGGGAGCAAACGGGAUUAGAUACCCCGGUAGUCCACGCCGUAAACGAUGGAUGCUAGCUGUAUUCGGUAUCGACCCCGGAUGUAGCGAAGCUAACGCGUUAAGCAUCCCGCCUGUGGAGUACGGUCGCAAGACUAAAACAUAAAGGAAUUGACGGGGACCCGCACAAGCGGUGGAGCGUGUUGUUUAAUUCGAUGGUAAACGAAGAACCUUACCCAGGCUUGACAUCCUUGGAAUUUCUCCGAAAGGAGAAAGUGCUUUUAGAGCCAAGUGACAGGUGAUGCAUGGCCGUCGUCAGCUCGUGUCGUGAGAUGUUUGGUUAAGUCCAUCAACGAGCGCAACCCUUAUAGUCUGUUGUAUUUUUCAGGCUAGACUGCCCUGGUAACAGGGAGGAAGGAGGGGAUGAUGUCAGGUCAGUAU